UCCGUAGUAGCUCAAUUGGCAGAGCGGUAGGCUGUUAACCGAUAGGUUCUAGGUUCAAGUCCUAGCUACGGAG
rnacentral:tRNA from 1 species